CCUACGGGGCGCAGCAGUGAGGAAUAUUGGUCAAUGGGCGCGAGCCUGAACCAGCCAAGUAGCGUGAAGGAUGACUGCCCUACGGGUUGUAAACUUCUUUUAUAAAGGAAUAAAGUGCGGCACGUGUGCCUUUUUGUAUGUACUUUACGAAUAAGGAUCGGCUAACUCCGUGCCAGCCGCCCCGGUAAUACGGAGGAUCCGAGCGUUAUCCGGAUUUAUUGUGCUUAAAGGGAGCGUAGGUGGUUUGUUAAGUCAGUUGUGAAAGUUCGCGGCUCAACCGUAAAAUUGCAAUUGAUACUGGCAGUCUUGAGUACAGUGGAGGUAGGCGGAAUUCGUGGUGUAGCGGUGAAAUGCUUAGAGAUCACGAAGAACUCCGAUUGCGAAGGCAGCUUACUAAACUGCCACUGACAUUGAUGCUCGAAAGUGUGGGUAUCAAACAGGAUUAGAUACCCGUGUAGUC
rnacentral:rRNA from 1 species